CCCAAAGAUCAUGGCGGAAUUGCAAUCGAAUGUUUUCGAUUUUGUGUGACUAAUAAUGUUCAUAUUUCAGUUGUAUAAGAGAGUGUUCUCCAUCGCAUCGAAAGCGGUAAAAACUGACAAUUUUUCUACCUUUGAAGUCACCAAUCAAACAAAGCAGGCAAAAGACUAAGAAUAUUACAUUUUCUACCGAGCGCAGAGAAGACCUUAUCACAGAGGCUUUAUUCUACAAAGACUUUGCUGGUCAUAAAAGUGGAAGUGAAUUCGUGUCACCAGGCUCACUGGAUCAGAUUGAUUAAAGAGAUAAUAAAAAUUGGCUUCUUACAACUAUAAAGAUAUAGAACUGAUUGCACUGGUCUCAGAUUAUCCUAGGGA
rnacentral:lncRNA from 1 species